CUGCGCGGAAGAUGUAACGGGGCUAAACCAUGCACCGAAGCUGCGGCAGCGACACUGUGUGUUGUUGGGUAGGGGAGCGUUCUGUAAGCCUGUGAAGGUGUGCUGUGAGGCAUGCUGGAGGUAUCAGAAGUGCGAAUGCUGACAUAAGUAACGAUAAAGCGGGUGAAAAGCCCGCUCGCCGGAAGACCAAGGGUUCCUGUCCAACGUUAAUCGGGGCAGGGUGAGUCGACCCCUAAGGCGAGGCCGAAAGGCGUAGUCGAUGGGAAACAGGUUAAUAUUCCUGUACUUGGUGUUACUGCGAAGGGGGGACGGAGAAGGCUAUGUUGGCCGGGCGACGGUUGUCCCGGUUUAAGCGUGUAGGCUGGUUUUCCAGGCAAAUCCGGAAAAUCAAGGCUGAGGCGUGAUGACGAGGCACUACGGUGCUGAAGCAACAAAUGCCCUGCUUCCAGGAAAAGCCUCUAAGCAUCAGGUAACAUCAAAUCGUACCCCAAACCGACACAGGUGGUCAGGUAGAGAAUACCAAGGCGCUUGAGAGAACUCGGGUGAAGGAACUAGGCAAAAUGGUGCCGUAACUUCGGGAGAAGGCACGCUGAUAUGUAGGUGAAGUCCCUCGCGGAUGGAGCUGAAAUCAGUCGAAGAUACCAGCUGGCUGCAACUGUUUAUUAAAAACACAGCACUGUGCAAACACGAAAGUGGACGUAUACGGUGUGACGCCUGCCCGGUGCCGGAAGGUUAAUUGAUGGGGUCAGCGCAAGCGAAGCUCUUGAUCGAAGCCCCGGUAAACGGCGGCCGUAACUAUAACGGUCCUAAGGUAGCGAAAUUCCUUGUCGGGUAAGUUCCGACCUGCACGAAUGGCGUAAUGAUGGCCAGGCUGUCUCCACCCGAGACUCAGUGAAAUUGAACUCGCUGUGAAGAUGCAGUGUACCCGCGGCAAGACGGAAAGACCCCGUGAACCUUUACUAUAGCUUGACACUGAACAUUGAGCCUUGAUGUGUAGGAUAGGUGGGAGGCUUUGAAGUGUGGACGCCAGUCUGCAUGGAGCCGACCUUGAAAUACCACCCUUUAAUGUUUGAUGUUCUAACGUGGACCCGUGAUCCGGGUUGCGGACAGUGUCUGGUGGGUAGUUUGACUGGGGCGGUCUCCUCCUAAAGAGUAACGGAGGAGCACGAAGGUUGGCUAAUCCUGGUCGGACAUCAGGAGGUUAGUGCAAUGGCAUAAGCCAGCUUGACUGCGAGCGUGACGGCGCGAGCAGGUGCGAAAGCAGGUCAUAGUGAUCCGGUGGUUCUGAAUGGAAGGGCCAUCGCUCAACGGAUAAAAGGUACUCCGGGGAUAACAGGCUGAUACCGCCCAAGAGUUCAUAUCGACGGCGGUGUUUGGCACCUCGAUGUCGGCUCAUCACAUCCUGGGGCUGAAGUAGGUCCCAAGGGUAUGGCUGUUCGCCAUUUAAAGUGGUACGCGAGCUGGGUUUAGAACGUCGUGAGACAGUUCGGUCCCUAUCUGCCGUGGGCGCUGGAGAACUGAGGGGGGCUGCUCCUAGUACGAGAGGACCGGAGUGGACGCAUCACUGGUGUUCGGGUUGUCAUGCCAAUGGCACUGCCCGGUAGCUAAAUGCGGAAGAGAUAAGUGCUGAAAGCAUCUAAGCACGAAACUUGCCCCGAGAUGAGUUCUCCCUGACCCUUUAAGGGUCCUGAAGGAACGUUGAAGACGACGACGUUGAUAGGCCGGGUGUGUAAGCGCAGCGAUGCGUUGAGCUAACCGGUACUAAUGAACCGUGAGGCUUAACCUUACAACGCCGAAGGUGUUU
rnacentral:rRNA from 1 species